CUUUUGUGAAGGAAAGAGUCCAUUGAAGAGCAAAAUUCAUUGUUGUCUUAAGAAAUUGUCACGGUUACCCCAGUCUUCAGCAACUGCCACGCUGAUCAGUUAGCAGACAUCAACACUGAGGUGGGGAGAAGUGGAAGGAAGGACGCACGAGAGCCAGCCUGCGACACCUAAGGACAGAAACACCUCCCUCAGCCCAGCCGGCUGCUGACUCCAUGCGAAGAGGGACACCAACCCUUACAAUCUCACAGUGUCCUGCCCCUGCCCCUGCCCCUGUGAGGGCGAUGCUCCUUCCAUCAAAACCAGAGUGUCCCAGCUCUAGAUUCCCCACCCAAUCUCCUGUGGCUGUCUCAGCACCUCCGUCGUGAAUCCGUGCAUCCCUUCAGACGACUGCCUUCCGAUGCGGCCCCUGACCUGCCCCCCCUCCCAUCACUGAAUAGGACUCCUUUUCUCCUGGAUUUCCUGUAGGAAGUUUCAAAAUGCUCUCCAGGUUUUCUGUGGGUGGAUUAUCUCUCUGGAUCUUUCUAAGUGAGUCCUGUGUUUCACCACAGCUCCCCCCACACAGUUGAGCAGCUAUACCGUGGGGAGGCUUGGUCCUCUUGCCCCAUUUGUGUGAUGUCUAUUGUAGUCAUGCCAGGGGCCUGACGUCAGAGCUCCACCCUGACAUGUGCUCAUGCCGGUUUACAAACCCUCCCAGGACCAGGCCCCCAUCCCUCUUCCAGGACAGGCUCUGGAGCUCCAGCUAUUAACAGAAACAUUCCAGCCAGCAUCCCCAGCGACCCUCAGCCUCCCACGCCGCUGUGUCUUCAUGACCACAGCCUGGCCACCACACAGCUCCCCCUCGAGGACUGUGACCACUUCCAGCCAUGGUCUCUUUGGG
rnacentral:lncRNA from 10 species